rnacentral:rRNA from 1 species
UGAGGAAUAUUGGUCAAUGGGCGGAAGCCUGAACCAGCCAUCCCGCGUGCAGGAAGACGGCCCUAUGGGUUGUAAACUGCUUUUCCAGGGGGAGAAACUUUCCGAUGAAUCGGGAUUUGACGGUACCCUGGGAAUAAGCAUCGGCUAACUCCGUGCCAGCAGCCGCGGUAAUACGGAGGAUGCGAGCGUUAUCCGGAUUUAUUGGGUUUAAAGGGUGCGUAGGCGGAUCGAUAAGUCAGUGGUGAAAACCGGCAGCUUAACUGUAG